rnacentral:rRNA from 1 species
UACGGAGGGGGCAAGCGUUAUUCGGAAUUAUUGGGCGUAAAGGGCGCGUAGGCGGCUAGAUGUGUCAAAGGUGAAAUCCCUCGGCUCAACUGAGGAACUGCCUUUGAAACUAUCUGGCUUGAGGCCGGGAGAGGGUAGCGGAAUUCCCAGUGUAGUGGUGAAAUGCGUAGAUAUCGGGAGGAACACCAGUGGCGAAGGCGGCUUCCUGGCCUGUUCUUGACGCUGAGGCGCGAGAGCUAGGGGAGCAAACGGG